CUCAGGACGAACGCUGGCGGCGUGCCUAAUACAUGCAAGUCGAACGCUUUUUCUUUCACCGGAGCUUGCUCCACCGAAAGAAAAAGAGUGGCGAACGGGUGAGUAACACGUGGGUAACCUGCCCAUCAGAAGGGGAUAACACUUGGAAACAGGUGCUAAUACCGUAUAACAAUCRAAACCGCAUGGUUUUGAUUUGAAAGGCGCUUUCGGGUGUCGCUGAUGGAUGGACCCGCGGUGCAUUAGCUAGUUGGUGAGGUAACGGCUCACCAAGGCCACGAUGCAUAGCCGACCUGAGAGGGUGAUCGGCCACAUUGGGACUGAGACACGGCCCAAACUCCUACGGGAGGCAGCAGUAGGGAAUCUUCGGCAAUGGACGAAAGUCUGACCGAGCAACGCCGCGUGAGUGAAGAAGGUUUUCGGAUCGUAAAACUCUGUUGUUAGAGAAGAACAAGGAUGAGAGUAACUGUUCAUCCCUUGACGGUAUCUAACCAGAAAGCCACGGCUAACUACGUGCCAGCAGCCGCGGUAAUACGUAGGUGGCAAGCGUUGUCCGGAUUUAUUGGGCGUAAAGCGAGCGCAGGCGGUUUCUUAAGUCUGAUGUGAAAGCCCCCGGCUCAACCGGGGAGGGUCAUUGGAAACUGGGAGACUUGAGUGCAGAAGAGGAGAGUGGAAUUCCAUGUGUAGCGGUGAAAUGCGUAGAUAUAUGGAGGAACACCAGUGGCGAAGGCGGCUCUCUGGUCUGUAACUGACGCUGAGGCUCGAAAGCGUGGGGAGCAAACAGGAUUAGAUACCCUG
rnacentral:rRNA from 1 species